AUGAAGGAGUAUUCUACCGAGAGCGACAAAGCUCACCGUGGCUCCGAAUUUCUGUACCAGACGCAUAUCAUGUACAACGUUAUAGCAUCAUCAUGGCAUCAGGAAAAAGAUGACAUUGCUCCAUUGUUCAAUAAUUGGAUCAAAACCAGAAUACCUUCACAGGACCAAAAAGGGGAGAGAGGACAUAUACAUCCUACGAAAUUGCAUGUGCCAUCAAUCAACUACAAAUCGAACAUCAGUGUUAAAACUGAAGGAGUAAAAAUAACGCAUCUUCAAGUGUUGCUUUCUCCUUUCUCUCUUCAUGUCCUACUCACCAUCAACUACUCAUACACCAAGCAGGCUACGCUCAUCAAGAUAGUCAUCCGGGGAAGUCAGAUGAGUCAAGAAGUCCUGCGAGUUUGCACGGUCAGUCGUCGUUGCGUCUGUGAGUCGUCGUCAUGUCCAAGUGCUCGUCUUGCUGAUGGUUCGUUGAAGUGUAAGCGGUGUGCACGGUGUUCCGUGAGUCAUGUCCAUGUCCUCGUGGAACGUCCUGGUUGCAGCCAGUGUGGAUUCGGUGUGAUGCCGAAGGCGGACGGUGGUUUCGCCGAUAUCGCCACUAGGAGUUCCUACGUGAGCAGUCGACCGGGUCCAGAUCAUGUUUGGAGAUUCCUCUACGUGUCCGAGAUCGAUUGCUGCUGGCUGUUUUCUUUAUCAUCGCUGGAUCCACCAAGUUGUGGCUGCUGCCCACGUAUAGGCUACAAGUCCCGAGGACACGCUGCCGCUACUGCUACUUUCUCUGGCGUGAAGACCGUUCAAGUCCAAAGAAUUAUCAAAUUUUAUCUACUCAUGGCAUUUACGAAGUAUGAUCUUCCACUGCUGGACCAUGACACAAGAGACACCAUAUUAUACAGUCGUGACACUCUCACGCUUAAUGAAGUUUAUGAAGCUUUGAACUCCAAGGAGAAGAUACAAUUACUGGUGCCUCAUGAUGGUUCGUGUUCAUCCCAAGCCGAGGGAUUAUCUGUUCGUAGCAGGACAAAGGAGAAGAACUCCAAUAAUGGAAACAAAGGCAAAAGUAAGAACGGCCACAGGGGGCGGUCGCAAUCUAGAGACAAAAAAUAUUGCGGAUAUUGCAAGAGAGGAGGGCAUGACAUCUCAGAGUGUUUCAAGUUGCAGAAUAAAGAAAAGAGGAAAGGUAACAAACAAGGUGAAAAUUCUGCUAACGUUGCUCGUGUUGAUAGUUCCGAUGAUGCUCUUAUUGUUAUUGCUGGAUGUGCUGAGACCAAUGAUGAGUGGAUUGAAGCCAUAGGUUCUGUUCGAAUCAAGAUGUUCGAUGGUAAUGCUACUUCAGUUAUUUCAAAGAAUUCUGAUUGUGAUGCUGCUAAGCUUUGGCAUAUGCGUCUUGGACAUAUGAGUGAACUUGGUUUAGCAGAGUUAAAUAAGAGAGGUCUCCUUAAUGGAUAUGAACCAGCAUUGAAGGAGUGGAAGAUUAUGAUUGAGGGACAAACUGAAAAGAAGUUGAGAGUUUUUGGUUGCACUGCUUAUGCUCAUGUUGAUAAUGGAAAGUUGGAGCCUAGGGCUGUUAAGUGCAUCUUUCUUGGUUAUAAGUCUGGUGUUAAAGGUUUUAAAUUGUGCAAUCCUGAAACCCAGAAGGUUGUUAUUAGCAGAAAUGUUAUCUUUAAUGAAUCUGCUAUGUUACAUGAUGUUCCAUCUACUAAUGUUCCUUUUGAGAGUGAACAACAGCCUACUGUUCAGGUGGAGCAUGUUAUUGAUUCAGGUGAUACAUCUGGUAAUGAAAUUGUUGAUGCACAUGAUGAACCCGUCGUUAAUGAUGAUCAUGCCACUCACACUCCAAAUCAGCCUAUUGUUCCACCCCAGUUGGAAUCUCGCACGUGA
rnacentral:rRNA from 1 species